rnacentral:tRNA from 1 species
CGUUUCGUGGUGUAGUGGUUAUCACGUCUGCUUAACACGCAGAAGGCCGCGAGUUCGAGCCUCGCCGAAACCU